rnacentral:rRNA from 1 species
UAGGGAAUAUUGGUCAAUGGACGCAAGUCUGAACCAGCCAUGCCGCGUGCAGGAAGAAGGCGCUCAGCGUUGUAAACUGCUUUAGACGGGGAACAAAAAGCUCAUGCGUGAGCCAUUGAGGGUACCCGUAGAAUAAGCACCGGCUAACUCCGUGCCAGCAGCCGCGGUAAUACGGAGGGUGCAAGCGUUGUCCGGAUUUACUGGGUUUAAAGGGUGCGUAGGCGGAUAAAUAAGUCAGUGCUUAAAUCCCGCAGCUCAACUGCGGAAGUGGCAUUGAUACUGUUUGUCUUGAGUAAAGACGAGGCAUGAGGAAUUUGUGAAGUAGCGGUGAAAUGCUCUGAUAUCACAAGGAACAUCAAUAGCGAAGGCAACAUGCUAGACUUUAACUGACGCUGAGGCA